GCCCCAGAACCGUGAGAAAACGGCCUCUUACGGAUCGGGUAAUUUCAUGUAAAGGAG
rnacentral:ncRNA from 1 species